AGUGAACGCUGGCGGUAGGCCUAACACAUGCAAGUCGAACGGCAGCACAGUAAGAGCUUGCUCUUACGGGUGGCGAGUGGCGGACGGGUGAGGAAUACAGCGGAAUCUACUUUUUCGUGGGGGAUAACGUAGGGAAACUUACGCUAAUACCGCAUACGACCUACGGGUGAAAGCAGGGGAUCUUCGGACCUUGCGCGAUUGAAUGAGCCGAUGUCGGAUUAGCUAGUUGGCGGGGUAAAGGCCCACCAAGGCGACGAUCCGUAGCUGGUCUGAGAGGAUGAUCAGCCACACUGGAACUGAGACACGGUCCAGACUCCUACGGGAGGCAGCAGUGGGGAAUAUUGGACAAUGGGCGCAAGCCUGAUCCAGCCAUACCGCGUGGAUGAAGAAGGCCUUCGGGUUGUAAAGCCCUUUUGUUGGGAAAGAAAAGCAGCAGGUUAAUACCCCGCUGUUCUGACGGUACCCAAAGAAUAAGCACCGGCUAACUUCGUG
rnacentral:rRNA from 1 species